AUUGAACGCUGGCGGCAUGCCUUACACAUGCAAGUCGAACGGUAACAGGUCUUCGGAUGCUGACGAGUGGCGAACGGGUGAGUAAUACAUCGGAACGUGCCCAAUCGUGGGGGAUAACGCAGCGAAAGCUGUGCUAAUACCGCAUAAGAUCUACGGAUGAAAGCGGGGGAUCGCAAGACCUCGCGCGAAUGGAGCGGCCGAUGGCAGAUUAGGUAGUUGGCGGGGUAAAAGCCCACCAAGCCGACGAUCCGUAGCUGGUCUGAGAGGACGACCAGCCACACUGGGACUGAGACACGGCCCAGACUCCUACGGGAGGCAGCAGUGGGGAAUUUUGGACAAUGGGCGCAAGCCUGAUCCAGCAAUGCCGCGUGCAGGAUGAAGGCCUUCGGGUUGUAAACUGCUUUUGUACGGAACGAAAAGGUUUGGCCUAAUAAGCUGAGCUCAUGACGGUACCGUAAGAAUAAGCACCGGCUAACUACGUGCCAGCAGCCGCAGUAA
rnacentral:rRNA from 1 species